UACGUAGGGUGCAAGCGUUGUCCGGAAUUAUUGGGCGUAAAGAGCUCGUAGGCGGUUCGUCGCGUCGGCUGUGAAAACCCGGAGCUCAACUCCGGGCCUGCAGUCGAUACGGGCGGACUUGAGUGUUGCAGGGGAGACUGGAAUUCCUGGUGUAGCGGUGAAAUGCGCAGAUAUCAGGAGGAACACCGGUGGCGAAGGCGGGUCUCUGGGCAACUACUGACGCUGAGGCGCGAAAGCCAGGGGAGCGAACGGG
rnacentral:rRNA from 1 species